rnacentral:rRNA from 1 species
UCCGUAGGUGAACCUGCGGAAGGAUCAUUACUCUUUGCUCUUGGGACGCCCCUGGCUUAGGUCAGGCGCCCUGGCAAACACCCUUUGUCUAUACGUACUCAUUGUCUAUCCUUUGGCAGGCUUUGCCCUGCCACUGGCCCCAGAACCUGAAUUAUAGCAUUUUCCUGAGCCAUAUUAUAAUGUCACAACUUUCAACAAUGGAUCUCUUGGCUCUGGCAUCGAUGAAGAACGCAGCGAAAUGCGAUAAGUAGUGUGAAUUGCAGACUUUAGUGAAUCAUCAAAUCUUUGAACGCACAUUGCGCCUGUUGGAAUUCCACCAGCGGGCAUGCCUGUUUGAGCGUCAUAUCAUCCCAAGCAGCUGCUUGGUGUUGGGUGUUUGUCCUGCACCAAGUGUGGACUCGCCUUAAUAACAUUGGCAGUUAGCUUGCUAGCAUAGAGCGCAGCACUUGUGUCAUCUAAGGCCCAGCAGGCUGGCGACCCAUCAAGACCCCCUUGUUCGACCUCAAAUCAGGUAGGGAUACCCGCUGAACUUAAGCAUAUCAAUAAGCGGAGGGAAGUCGGACUGGCCAAGGGGCACACCAGGGGGGGGGGAUA